rnacentral:tRNA from 1 species
CAUUAAGAAGCUACUGCAGCGUUAACCUUUUAAGUUAAAGAAUGAGAAUUUAAAUUUCUCCUUAAUGA